rnacentral:rRNA from 1 species
CCCCAACUAUCCUUAUUAAUCAUUACGGUGAUCUUAGAAACCAACAAAAUAGAACCAUGCCGUCCUAUUUUAUUAUUCCAUGUUAAUUUAUUCAAGCACUAGCCCGCUUUAAGCACUCUAAUUUUUUCAAGGUAAUAGAUCUGCUUCCCCAACGCACUAACUUAAUAGCAUGCUGGUUAUUCAGAAGGUAGGAAUCCAUCAAAUCAGUACGGACAGUGAAACCCCACCCAUUGACAAACCCCCAAAUUCCA